rnacentral:rRNA from 1 species
AGAGUUUGAUCAUGGCUCAGAAUGAACGUUGGCGGUGUGGAUUAGGCAUGCAAGUCGUGCGCGAAACGUAGCAAUACGUGGAGAGCGGCGAAAGGGAGAGUAAUACAUAGGUACGUACCCCCGGGUCUGGGAUAGCGGCGGGAAACUGCCGGUAAUACCAGAUAACGUCUCCGGACCAAAGGUGUGAUUCCACCUGGGGAGCGGCCUGUGGCCUAUCAGCUUGUUGGUGGGGUAAUGGCCUACCAAGGCAAAGACGGGUAUGGGGCGUGAGAGCGUGCCCCCACUCACUGGGACUGAGAUACUGCCCAGACACCUACGGGCGGCUGCAGUCGAGAAUCUUCGGCAAUGGGCGCAAGCCUGACCGAGCGACACCGCGUGCGGGAUGAAGGCCUUCGGGUUGUAAACCGCUGUCGUAGGGGAGGAAGGGUCCGUGAAGAACGGAACUUGACCGAUCCUAGGAGGAAGGGCCGGCUAAUCUCGUGCCAGCAGCCGCGGUAAUACGAGAGGCCCAAACGUUAUUCGGAUUUACUGGGCUUAAAGAGUUCGUAGGCGGCUUGGAAAGUGGGGUGUGAAAGCCCUCGGCUCAACCGAGGAAUUGCGCUCCAAACUACCGAGCUUGAGUAGGCUAGAGGUGAGCAGAACUGAUGGUGGAGCGGUGAAAUGCGUUGAUAUCAUCAGGAAUACCGGAGGCGAAGGCGGCUCACUGGGACCUAACUGACGCUGAGGAACGAAAGCUAGGGGAGCAAACGGGAUUAGAUACCCCUGUAGUCCUAGCCGUAAACGGUGCGCACUGGGUCUUG